rnacentral:rRNA from 1 species
CCUACGGGUGGCAGCAGUGAGGAAUAUUGGUCAAUGGGCGGAAGCCUGAACCAGCCAAGUAGCGUGCAGGAUGACGGCCCUACGGGUUGUAAACUGCUUUUAUACGGGAAUAACGCGCCUUACGUGUAGGGCUUUGCAUGUACCGUAUGAAUAAGGACCGGCUAAUUACGUGCCCGCAGCCGCGGGAAGACGGGAGGUCCGGGCGUUAUCCGGAUUUAUUGGGGUUAAAGGGAGCGUAGGCCGCAUGUCAAGCGUGCUGUGAAAUGUCCGGGCUCAACCCGGGCCUUGCAGCGAGAACUGGCGUGCUUGAGUCCGCGGAAAGCAGGCGGAAUUCGUCGUGUAGCGGUGAAAUGCUUAGAUAUGACGAAGAACCCCGAUUGCGAAGGCAGCUUGCUGCAGCGGAACUGACGCUGAUGCUCGAAAGCGCGGGUAUCGAACAGGAUUAGAUACCCCUGUAGUC